AUGUCACAAACACAAUUUUUUGAACUCGUGAUCAUUCUUGAAAUGUUACAUUUUUUUGAAUGUAUAAAACAUUUUUUGAAUCACACGAAUAUUAUUAUACAUUGUAUAAACAUUUGGAUUGGCCGCUAUUUUAGAAAUGUGCAAACAUUUUUUAAACCUCACGAAUUCUUGUUGUGUUAUAGUGGACCGGCCCAAAUUCUAGUCCGUGAGAGUAGCUGGAAUCCCGGACGGAAUUCCGGUGACACUCCGGUAUCCUUUAUGCAUGAAGGCGCUGGCAAGAGCACUCCCCAUGCUUGUCUAGAGGAGAACACCACCUGGGACCUGGUGGCUGACAUUGAGAAGCUCAGGCAGCACCUGGACAUUCCAGAGUGGCAGGUGUUCGGCGGUUCAUGGGGAAGCACCUUGGCCCUCGCCUACAGCCAGACUCACCCUGACAAGGUCACUGGCAUUGUUUUAAGAGGCAUUUUCUUGCUUAGGAAAAAGGAGCUUGACUGGUUCUACGAGGGCGGCGCAGCAGCUGUUUUCCCAGAUGCAUGGGAGCCAUUUAGAGAUUUUAUUCCAGAGGACGAAAGGAACUGUUUCAUAGCUGCUUACAGCAAAAGGCUAACUUCCUCUGACGCUGAUGUGCAGAUUCAAGCUGCUAGGAGAUGGACAACGUGGGAGAUGAUGACUGCACAUCUUGUUCAAAAUCACGAGAACAUUAAACGAGGGGAGGAUGACAAAUUUUCAUUGGCAUUUGCAAGGAUUGAAAACCACUACUUCAUUAACAAGGGAUUCUUAGACUCGGACUCUCACUUAUUGGACAACGUCGACAAAAUUCGUCACAUUAAAUCUUUCAUUGUACAGGGGCGGUAUGAUAUGUGCUGUCCUAUGAUGUCUGCUUGGGAUCUUCAUAAAGCUUGGCCUGAAGCUGAGUUUAAGGUGGUUCCAGAUGCAGGACACUCGGCCAAUGAAGUUGGCGUUGCGGCUGAACUGGUAUCAGCUAACGAAAAGCUUAAAAGCAUGUUGAAAAAAUGA
rnacentral:rRNA from 1 species